rnacentral:rRNA from 1 species
AACGAACGCUGGCGGCAUGCCUAACACAUGCAAGUCGAACGAGACCUUCGGGUCUAGUGGCGCACGGGUGCGUAACGCGUGGGAACCUGCCCUUAGGUUCGGAAUAACUCCCCGAAAGGGGUGCUAAUACCGGAUAAUGUCUUCGGACCAAAGAUUUAUCGCCUUUGGAUGGGCCCGCGUUGGAUUAGCUAGUUGGUAGCGUAAAAGCCUACCAAGGCGACGAUCCAUAGCUGGUCUGAGAGGAUGAUCAGCCACACUGGGACUGAGACACGGCCCAGACUCCUACGGGAGGCAGCAGUGGGGAAUAUUGGACAAUGGGCGAAAGCCUGAUCCAGCAAUGCCGCGUGAGUGAUGAAGGCCUUAGGGUUGUAAAGCUCUUUUACCCGGGAUGAUAAUGACAGUACCGGGAGAAUAAGCGCCGGCUAACUCCGUG